rnacentral:lncRNA from 1 species
CCAGAUUUAAAGUUAGGUAGUCAGUGUAGUUAGAUAAAUCGGUCUAAUAUCGAGUGAAAUCUAAAAUGGAGACCAUGCAGAGAAUGACUCAGGGAAAACACAGGACAACUCAUGGAAUGUUAAUGAAGUCCCGAAAAGGCCCUAGGCCAAAGUCCACCUCAAAGAAAUGUUAAUGAACAGCCCCCAGCAAAAAGGUGCUGACUCAGUCCUUCCUGACCAGAUUACUUCUUUGGCCCACCUGUGUCCCACCCCUCGGGCCUUCCCACCUACAUUCCAUCACUGAAAGAACUAUAAAAAGG